rnacentral:rRNA from 1 species
UACGAAGGGGGCUAGCGUUGCUCGGAAUCACUGGGCGUAAAGCGCACGUAGGCGGAUCUUUAAGUCAGGGGUGAAAUCCCAAAGGCUCAACCUUGGAACUGCCUUUGAUACUGGGGAUCUCGAGUCCGGAAGAGGUGAGUGGAACUGCGAGUGUAGAGGUGAAAUUCGUAGAUAUUCGCAAGAACACCAGUGGCGAAGGCGGCUCACUGGUCCGGUACUGACGCUGAGGUGCGAAAGCGUGGGGAGCAAACAGG